rnacentral:rRNA from 1 species
UACGUAGGGGGCAAGCGUUGUCCGGAAUUAUUGGGCGUAAAGAGCGCGUAGGCGGUCCGAUAAGUCGGCUGUGAAAGUCAGGGGCUCAACCCUUGAAAGCCGGCCGAUACUGUCGGACUAGAGUCCGGAAGAGGCAAGUGGAAUUCCCGGUGUAGCGGUGAAAUGCGCAGAUAUCGGGAGGAACACCAAUGGCGAAGGCAGCUUGCUGGGACGGUACUGACGCUGAGGCGCGAAAGCUAGGGGAGCGAACAGG